UGAUUGGGGAGGAUUAAUGAGAGAAUUUUAUGGUAAAACAAGUGCCUAUCGAGACAGUGAUUUUACCAUCAAUUAUCUUGGGUAUUAUACAGACAAUGGAGCGUAUUACUACUACCGAACAGAAAAUACGACUAUGAAUUAUGAACAGACAUUGAUUGAUGUACAGAAAUAUGGUAAAAUACAGGGAAUACCGUAUAGGUAUGCUCAACUAGAUUCAUGGUUUUACCCUAAAGACAAUACUACCAAAGCUGUUAUAACAUGGGUUGCAUUACCAGAAGUAUUCCCAC